rnacentral:rRNA from 1 species
GAACCGUACAAACGUUAUUCGGAAUCACUGGGCUUAAAGGGUGCGUAGGCGGCGUGGGUAAGUUGGGGUGUGAAAUCCCUCGGGCUCAACCGAGGGAUUGCGCUCAAAACUGCCAUGCUAGAGGGAGACAGAGGUAAGCGGAACUCAGGGUGGAGCGGUGAAAUGCGUUGAUAUCCUGGGGAACACCAGUGGCGAAGGCGGCUUACUGGGUCUCUUCUGACGCUGAGGCACGAAAGCUAGGGUAGCGAACGGGAUUAGAUACCCCGGUAGUCCUAGCUGUAAACGAUGAGCACUUGGUCGGAGACUCCUCCAUAGGUUUCCGGCCGUAGCGAAAGUGUUAAGUGCUCCGCCUGGGGAGUAUGGUCGCAAAGGCUG